AUAGGUUCCUUCUACUGCAAGCAUACCCAUGUAGUUGAAAUACUGCAAAAAACAUCACGAACACAUAAAAUUUAUAUUUAUGUAUACAUAAAAGUUAUAUUCAAUGUAGCUCUAUGUAAUGCUUCUUCACAUCUACAACUAAAGAUUGCAAUUCAAGUAGCAAACUUGACGAUUUGAUUCAUCAGAAUCCAACCUAAGCGUCUUCUGACUUCUUGGUCGAAACAUAAAUCAAUCUGAUUCUUAGUCAAGGGAAAAACCUGUUCGACGUCGUCUCUGUCGAA